UACGAGGGGGGCAAGCGUUGUUCGGAUUGACUGGGCGUAAAGGGCGUGUAGGCGGUCGGCCAAGUCUGAUGUGAAAGCCCGAGGCUCAGCCUCGGAAGUGCGUCGGAAACUAGUCGGCUGGAGCGCGAUAGAGGAGGGUGGAAUUCCUGGUGUAGCGGUGAAAUGCGUAGAUAUCAGGAGGAACACCGGCGGCGAAGGCGGCCCUCUGGAUCGUUGCUGACGCUGAUACGCGAAAGCGUGGGGAGCAAACAGG
rnacentral:rRNA from 1 species